AUUGUGAUGAGGACAAUCUCUGAGCAGCCCCUUGAACCUCUCCUAAGCUAAGUAUGAAGACUCUUCGGCUUUCUGUUUGAAAACGACUAUCUCACUUCUGAUCUU
rfam:Nicotiana sylvestris Nsyl_contig36269, whole genome shotgun sequence.